GCGGGUGUAGUUCAAUGGUAGAACAUCAGCUUCCCAAGCUGAAUACGCGGGUUCGAUUCCCGUCACCCGCU
rnacentral:tRNA from 1 species